UACGUAGGGUGCAAGCGUUGUCCGGAAUUAUUGGGCGUAAAGAGCUCGUAGGCGGUCUGUCGCGUCGGCUGUGAAAUCCCGGGGCUCAACCCCGGGCCUGCAGUCGAUACGGGCAGACUAGAGUGCGGUAGGGGAGAUCGGAAUUCCUGGUGUAGCGGUGAAAUGCGCAGAUAUCAGGAGGAACACCGGUGGCGAAGGCGGAUCUCUGGGCCAUUACUGACGCUGAGGUGCGAAAGCGUGGGGAGCGAACAGG
rnacentral:rRNA from 1 species